rnacentral:rRNA from 1 species
UACAGAGGCCUCGAGCGUUAGGCGGAAUCACUGGGCUUAAAGCGUGUGUAGGCGGACUUCUAAGUACCUUGUGAAAUCCCACGGCUUACCCGUGGAACGGCUGGGUAUACUGGUUGUCUUGAGCCACUUAGGGGCUACCGGAACAAAUGGUGGAGCGGUGAAAUGCGUAGAUAUCGGAAGGAACACCUGUGGCGAAAGCGGCUCACUGGACCAUUACUGACGCUGAGGCACGAAAGCUAGGGGAGCAAACAGG